UACCUACUCCCUCCGUUCGGAAUUACUUGUCUUGGAUAUGGAUGUAUCUAGAACUAAAAUACAUCUAGAUACAUCCAUUUCUGCGACAAGUAAUUCCGAACGGAGGGAGUACUUA
rnacentral:pre_miRNA from 1 species